rnacentral:rRNA from 1 species
CUAAGCACCAACAGUGACCUUCGCAAGCUCUUCAUCGAGACCACUGGCAAGUCAAUUAUCGUCAUCGAGGACAUCGACUGCUCCCUCGACCUCACCGGUAAUCGUGUCAGAAAAGGUGGACGGCGACAAGCACAGGCAGACGAUGCCCAUGAUUAUGCCGAUCCCAAUAGGCUGACUUUGUCUGGCCUACUCAAUUUCAUCGAUGGCCUUUGGUCGGCGCAUAGCGGUGAGCGGAUCAUUGUGUUCACCACAAACUAUGUCGGCGAGCUUGACCCUGCGCUGAUCCGCAGGGGGCGGAUGGACAUGCACAUUGAGAUGUCGUACCUCAAGUUUGAGGCGUUCAAGACACUGGCCAUGAACUACCUCCAAAUGGAAACACACCCGCUAUUCGACACCAUCAAGGAGCUGUUGGACGAGGUGGAGAUUGCCCCAGCAGAUGUCGCCGAGUGUCUUAUGGUGUCGAGGCGCAUAGACCGUGAUGCACAGGCUUGCUUGGACCGCUUGAUUGGUGAGCUCAAGAUGAAGAAUAGCCGAGAAAGAAAAGGUCGAAAAGGCAGCAUCCGAGGACGAUAA